ACAAUUUACUUAGCAAAUGGUGAUAAUGUUUGUUAAUGAAAGAGAGUACGGGACAAAUUAACAUUUAAACCUUAAACUAGCAGCGCACGUCACUUUCUGAAUGAGGUGCGCGACGUGCGCGUGCCCGUCAUUUUGUAACGGUCAACUUCCAGCGGACGGACACGGAGGAAAGGGCCUGACAACCACCAGUUGAGUCCAUGAUUCAGGGAAGAGACAGUCUGGGCAGCAGCAACAAGACAACUAUUACAAGUAGAGAUGGGUUUCAAGAACUGGUACUAAUUUGGUUCCUGACUUGUUCAGUACUGAAAACAUUUACAUAAGGUACAGGAUCAAUAGUGCUGCUAUCAGUAUUCUUGUAACAUUGAUUCAUUACCCUUUAGACACAACCACAUAUCCUCCAAAUCAUCUCUGCGUGGAUGGCAGCAAGGAUCCAGGAUCAAGAGGUCAUUCUUCAUGGAGACUGUUCCACAGGAAGCAGUUUCUCCUGGGUGAAAAACUAAACCUGGUUGUUUCAGCAUCACUCAGGCAAGACUUAAUACUUUUAAAUUGAUUUCAGUUGGUUAUGUGUUUCAGGUCAUCCUGACCAUUCUGCUGUCCUGGAUGUAAGGCCGUGCUGGAACUACAUUUCUCGUUGUUGAAAGAUUUGUGCAGCGGUAUCCAGACAUAUAACGCCCCAUCACACGGGGCGUCAACGCCUCUUGUUUACUUUUAAAUGAAGUGACGUCAAGGAUGGUGAAAUUAAUUCUAGAAAUUAAUUCUAAAUAGAAGUUGAAGACUUCUCAAGCGCCAAUGCAGCCGUCCUCCAGUCAGAACAUCCUAUGCAAAUACCCUAGCGCAGACGCAAGCCAAUCGAGUGCAUGCAAUACCAGAAAACUAAUGUGAUUGGCUGUCACUAUGAGAAGAGACAGUAAUUCUGAUCCGAUAUCAGUGUCGUUUUUUGCAAAAAAAAAUUUAAAUCAAUGUAGAAUUUUCUAUACUUCUGUGUAGGGAUGUCAAUUUUCAAUCAUUUCCAUGAUCGAUCGUCGUUUAAAUUAAUGAACAAAUAAUCGAUUAAUCGUUAACCUUAAUGCUGCAAAGUCUAUUGCA